AUUGAACGCUGGCGGCAGGCCUAACACAUGCAAGUCGAACGGUAACAGGAAGCAGCUUGCUGCUUCGCUGACGAGUGGCGGACGGGUGAGUAAUGUCUGGGAAGCUGCCUGAUGGAGGGGGAUAACUACUGGAAACGGUAGCUAAUACCGCAUAAUGUCGCAAGACCAAAGAGGGGGACCUUCGGGCCUCUCGCCAUCGGAUGUGCCCAGAUGGGAUUAGCUUGUUGGUGGGGUAACGGCUCACCAAGGCGACGAUCCCUAGCUGGUCUGAGAGGAUGACCAGCCACACUGGAACUGAGACACGGUCCAGACUCCUACGGGAGGCAGCAGUGGGGAAUAUUGCACAAUGGGCGCAAGCCUGAUGCAGCCAUGCCGCGUGUAUGAAGAAGGCCUUCGGGUUGUAAAGUACUUUCAGCGGGGAGGAAGGGAGUAAAGUUAAUACCUUUGCUCAUUGACGUUACCCGCAGAAGAAGCACCGGCUAACUCCGUG
rnacentral:rRNA from 1 species